CCGUGAAAUUGGGGUCAAAAGUUUAAUUUGGCUUUAAAAUGAGAAAGAUCAUAUCAUAAGCAACAAGUCUACUAAGUUUCAAGUUGAUUGGACUUCAGCUUCAUCAAAAACUACCUUGACCAAAAACUUUAACCUGAACGGACGGACGCACAGACGGACGCAUAGACGAACGGAGCCACAGACCAGAAAACAUAAUGCCCCUCUACUAUCGUA
rnacentral:lncRNA from 1 species